AAAAUGAAACAGAAUUUCGAGAGCAUGAAACUCGUCUUGGACUCGUAUAAAUAGAAUUCGGCGCCUCUCGAAAAUGAGUCCUCUCGUACGAAUUCUAAAUCUCGUUCGUCUUAAGUAAGCCCUGCCAAAAUCUUAGGAUCAAAAAUGCUGGUUUUCGUGACCGCUGUUUGUGAGUUUUUAUCUGCUAGACGUUCGUAGGAAAGCAAAAGUCGUGAUUGAAAAUUAAUGUUUUCGACGGAGACACGUGUAUUAUUUUUAAAAAUCGACUUGUCUUACUUCGCUCUACUUGCUUUAACAACACAACGAAAUAAAAAAAUAAAAAAAGAACAAAAGCAUAAAAGUUUUAAGUGAAACACGCCACAGACAGAACAUUACGGACAGAAUAGAAUAG